UCACUGUUUUUCUGAAACCUACAUGGCUAC
rnacentral:piRNA from 2 species